UUUCCCUACGGGACGCAGCAGUGGGGAAUAUUGCACAAUGGGGGAAACCCUGAUGCAGCGACGCCGCGUGAAGGAAGAAGUAUUUCGGUAUGUAAACUUCUAUCAGCAGGGAAGAAAAUGACGGUACCUGACUAAGAAGCCCCGGCUAACUACGUGCCAGCAGCCGCGGUAAUACGUAGGGGGCAAGCGUUAUCCGGAUUUACUGGGUGUAAAGGGAGCGUAGACGGCUGUGCAAGUCUGGAGUGAAAGGCGGGGGCCCAACCCCCGGACUGCUCUGGAAACUGUAUGGCUGGAGUGCAGGAGAG
rnacentral:rRNA from 1 species